UACGUAGGUGGCAAGCGUUGUUCGGAAUUAUUGGGCGUAAAGAGCGUGUAGGCGGCCAAGCAGGUCCGUUGUGAAAACUGGAGGCUUAACCUCCAGACGUCGACGGAAACCGCGCGGCUAGAGUCCGGAAGAGGAGAGUGGAAUUCCUGGUGUAGCGGUGAAAUGCGCAGAUAUCAGGAAGAACACCCGUGGCGAAGGCGGUUCUCUGGGACGGUACUGACGCUGAGACGCGAAAGCGUGGGGAGCGAACAGG
rnacentral:rRNA from 1 species